GCUUCUCUGUCGGCGAGUGGCGAACGGGUGAGUAUAGCAUCGGAACGUGCCAAGUAGUGGGGGAUAACCAAGCGAAAGUUUGGCUAAUACCGCAUAAGCUCUAAGGAGGAAAGUAGGGGACCGUAAGGCCUUACGCUAUUUGAUCGGCCGAUGUCGGAUUAGCUAGUUGGUGAGGUAAUGGCUCACCAAGGCGAUGAUCCGUAGCGGGUCUGAGAGGACGAUCCGCCACACUGGGACUGAGACACGGCCCAGACUCCUACGGGAGGCAGCAGUGGGGAAUUUUGGACAAUGGGGGGAACCCUGAUCCAGCCAUGCCGCGUGUAUGAAGAAGGCCUUAGGGUUGUAAAGUACUUUUGUUAGGGAAGAAAAGCUAGUUUUUAAUAAAGACUAGUGAUGACGGUACCUAAAGAAUAAGCACCGGCUAACUACGUGCCAGCAGCCGCGGUAAUACGUAGGGUGCGAGCGUUAAUCGGAAUUAUUGGGCGUAAAGCGAGUGCAGACGGUUGUUUAAGCCAGAUGUGAAAUCCCCGAGCUUAACUUGGGACGUGCAUUUGGAACUGGAUAACUAGAGUGUGUCAGAGGGAGGUAGAAUUCCACAUGUAGCGGUGGAAUGCGUAGAGAUGUGGAGGAAUACCGAUGGCGAAGGCAGCCU
rnacentral:rRNA from 1 species